GACUUUUCUCAGUGUGUUGAUCACGAUUUAUUUGGAUAUUCAUACGAUGGCUGAAGCAGUGGUGAGCGUCCAGCGUGCGACACGGUAAACAGAUCAACAUUGUAAACGAAAUUCUACAAAACUUCAGUGAAAAAAAAAAAAAAAUAAAUAAAAUGAUCAUGCGACGCGAUAAAAUAGCUUCUAUUCCCUGCAAACGAUACCAUUAAAAAUGUUAACGUUCCACUUAAUGGCAGAAACAAAACAAAAGGUAAGCAAGAAUCCGUAUUAAUUUCAAUACGAGUAAUAGAGGGCGAUCCUGUCAAAAUGGCGGCGCCGCCCCGGCAUGCAACGAGGCGUGACGUCGGUUCGUAUUCUCUAUCCGUAAAUAGAGAAAAGUGGCAUAGGUUAAUUGUCACAACGAUCGAGAACGGUUGACACAGAAUCUCGAACCUCCAUCACCCUUUUUUCUUUUUAAAAAAAAAAAAAAACGCUAAACAGAGCAGAGUCUGCUUGCAAAAAGAGAACAUGACAAAGCUCAUAAUAAAACGAGAAUCGAAACUGACUUGGCUUUUCAGAGAUGACGAUAACUGAAGGAUUUGAAAUGUUAAACGACGCGGAGAUGGCGUUUUUAAUACUCAACAGAUGGAGUUCCCAUUGACAUGCAUUAUAUGGCUGACAGACCAUAACGGUUGGAGUUAGAAAUCAUAAUUUGUGUUCUACUGAAGAAACAAAGUCACCUACAUCUUGGAUGCCCUGGGGGUAGAGAGAUGAGGUGACCCAAUCAGUCAGCAGACGUGGUGAAUAAUCAGGCUGUUAGCUUGCUAAUAUGAGCAGGGGGAUUCUUCUCUGUACGGCCCCCUGUGACUCCUCUCUCAUUACACAAUCCCCACAGGAGAUCUUCAGCCUUCACUCGCACACCUUGCAAUGAGAACGUCCUGCCUUUGCCACUUUAAUCCCUGUUCUGAGACCAGUGUUUCGAAAUUGCACCAUAGUGUGUCCCAGUGGGGUUUUUCAGAUCUGAGACCAGUUUUCUCUCCCACACCACUUAAUGCCCCUGAGAAAUGUUUUCCAUACGUUAAUGCUGAUUUGUACGCAAUAGGGUACAUAAUAUUGCUAUUUUAAUCAUUUGUUCAAAUGUUUAACAAACCAUGAAAAUAAAAUACACACUAGA